rnacentral:rRNA from 1 species
CAGGCGCGAAAACUUUGCAAUGCGGGAAACCGUGACAAGGGAACUCUGAGUGCCCGUUAAAUCGGGCUGUCCAUCGGUUUAAACAACCGGUGAAGAAAGGGCCGGGCAAGACCGGUGCCAGCCGCCGCGGUAAUACCGGCGGCUCGAGUGGUGGCCACUAUUACUGGGCUUAAAGCGUUCGUAGCUGGUUUGUUAAGUCUCUGGGGAAAUCUUCCGGCUCAACCGGAAGGCGUCUCAGGGAUACUGGCAGACUAGGGACCGGGAGAGGUGAGAGGUACUCCAGGGGUAGGAGUGAAAUCCUGUAAUCCUUGGGGGACCACCUGUGGCGAAGGCGUCUCACCAGAACGGCUCCGACAGUGAGGGACGAAAGCUGGGGGAGCAAACCGGAUUAGAUACCCGGGUAGUCCCAGCUGUAAACGAUGCGCGUUAGGUGUAUCGGUGACCACGAGUCACCGAGGUGCCGAAGAGAAAUCGUGAAACGUGCCGCCUGGGAAGUACGGUCGCAAGGCUGAAACUUAAAGGAAUUGGCGGGGGAGCAC